UGGGGAAUAUUGCACAAUGGAGGGAACUCUGAUGCAGCGACGCCGCGUGAACGAAGAAGGCUUUCGAGUCGUAAAGUUCUUUUAUAUGGGAAGAUAAUGACGGUACCAUAAGAAAAAGCCCCGGCUAACUACGUGCCAGCAGCCGCGGUAAUACGUAGGGGGCUAGCGUUGUCCGGAAUCACUGGGCGUAAAGGGUUCGCAGGCGGAAAUGCAAGUCAGGUGUAAAAGGCAGUAGCUUAACUACUGUAAGCAUUUGAAACUGCAUAUCUUGAGAAGAGUAGAGGUAAGUGGAAUUUUUAGUGUGGCGGUGAAAUGCGUAGAUAUUAAAAAGAAUACCGGUGGCGAAGGCGACUUACUGGGCUCAUUCUGACGCUGAGGAACGAAAGCGUGGGUAGCAAACAGG
rnacentral:rRNA from 4 species